AGACAGAGAGAGAGAGAGAGAGAGAGAGAGAGAGAGAGAGAAUGAAUGGAGAGCAGGAAGCAGGAAGUGUUUGAAGGCAAGAAGAAAAAUGAAGAAGGUUUGCUGACUGUCAAACAAAACCAGAAAAUUUUCCAACAAACCUGUGUUACCUGUGCAAACCGGUUGGGUGUGGGUGUGUUUUCAGACUCUUUUGGGUGAACAGAUUUCAACAAUAAUGUUUGUUUAUAGAGAACGGUGGUGUGUGUUGGUGGUGUUGGUUGGCGGUGUGUGUUAGUGUGUUGGUGGGGUUGGUGGCAUUAGUUGGUGGUGGAGGUUGGUGUGUUGGUGGUGGAGGUUGGUGUGUUGGGGUAGAGGUUAGUGUGUUGGGGGUGGAGGUUGGUGUGUUGGUGUUGGUGGUGUUGGUUCUUGUGUUGGUGGUGGAGGUUGGUGUGUUGGUGGUGGAGAUUGGUGUGUUGGCUGGUGUGUUGGUGGUGGAGGUUGGUGUGUUGGUGGUGGAGGUUGGUGUGUUGGUGGUGGAGAUUGGUGUGUUGGCUGGUGUGUUGGUGGUGGAGGUUGGUGUGUUGGUGGUGGAGAUUGGUGUGUUGGCUGGUGUGUUGGUGGUGGAGGUUGGUGUGUUGGUGGUGGAGGUUGGUGUGUUGGAGGAGGUUGGUGUGUUGGUGGUGUUGAUUGGUGUGUUGGCUGGUGGGUUGGUGGUGGCGAAUUCAGCACCUCUGUGGUAUGAAUACGUUUCAGUGACAGAUUCACGUUUUAUAACGUGUGCUAAAAACAGGAA